rnacentral:rRNA from 1 species
ACAUGCUUACAGCAUAGCGUUAAUGCAUUGGAUCCCAUUAGAACUCCACAGUUAAGCGCACUCGAGCUAGAGUAGUAUUGGGAUGGGUGACCACCCUCGAAGUCUUAUUAUUUUACAUUCC